rnacentral:rRNA from 1 species
UACGUAGGUGGCAAGCGUUGUCCGGAAUUAUUGGGCGUAAAGCGCGCGCAGGCGGUCCUUUAAGUCUGAUGUGAAAGUCCACGGCUCAACCGUGGAGGGUCAUUGGAAACUGGGGGACUUGAGUGCAGGAGAGAAGAGUGGAAUUCCACGUGUAGCGGUGAAAUGCGUAGAGAUGUGGAGGAACACCAGUGGCGAAGGCGGCGUCCUGGCCUGCGACUGACGCUGUGGCGCGAAAGCUAGGGGAGCGAACGGG